rnacentral:miRNA from 1 species
UGCCUGCUGAUUGGUGUCUUACCAGACAAAGUUAGAUCUCGCUAUUUCCGUCUAAUACUGUCUGGUAAUGCCAUUGGUCACAUGGCAAGAUCUUCAUCU